rnacentral:lncRNA from 1 species
UCAUUUUGUUCCUAUAUAGUGGACAGGUCACAUCAUUGAACCGGUAAAAAACUCACAUAAUUGCACCAAUUUUAUUUUUUUUACAGGAAUUGCACUAAAAAAUUACUAAUAUUAACUGCGCAUAAAUAAGUCAAUAAUCGAUACCAUAUGUACAUGCAUAUUUUAAGUCACCGUUAGAUUUCAGAUAUUAAAGUAUACUUUUUCGGUCACAAAAAUUCAGUCUUUUAAGGACACUUCUCAAAACCUUAAAACACAAUCAAAAUUUUUUCAUUAAUCAGAUGAAUCAGUUUUCCUAGAACUAAUUUUAAUUUAAUUGUGAACAAUAGACAGCAUCAUGUGUGUGCGUAAGCUUGGGCCAACCACAGUGGUCUCCAAUUUUUUGAAAACAGAAGUUACCAUCACAUGGGAUGUUACCAAACAUGGCCCAGCCAUGAUUUAUGCAGUGCAUUCCUUUGGAAAGUGUGUUUAGAGAGCCUUCAGCUUUACCAACCAACAAUUAUCAUUAUUAUUUUUGACGCACCAACAAUUAUUAUUACUACUAAGAUUUUCAGCUUUAAAAAAUCAAUAAGUUCUUUAAAAAACAUAAUUACUAACAAAUUAAAAAAAUUUAGUUGCUGAAAUAAAAUGAAAUAAGUUGCUAAUAAGUCUAUUUUUAGAAAGAACACACGCGUCUUUCCUUAUCGUGAUUUUUUAUUACUCAAUCUUUUAGCAGUUUACGCUUUUCAUAGAAAUUAGAGUACAAGUUGACUCAAAUAGAUUUGUGUUUAAGAUACAACUUCACUUUUUUUUUAAUCAAGAUACUACUUCACUUAAUACUUUGUUGCUACUUUUUAGAUAGAUUUUUUUUCUUCUUUCUGACAGUACUUUUUGAUUAAUAAAUUUAUGAGAUUCUAUCAUGACUUACAUUCACCAUAUGUACUUCUAUAUUUAAUCGAUAUAUGGUGUAAAGUGUAAUAACCAAGUUCCCUCUUCAACCGUAGGUAAACAAAAUUAUGGGUCAGAUUGCUAAACUUGCAUCCCUUUCUUCCCCACGUGAAAAGGAUUCACAAUUUUAUCAUCUUUUUAUGGUUUGAUAUAAAAUGGUUAGACUCACCAAUAUGGUAAACAAAACUAGACCGUAAGGUGAUGUUAACUUAUUCAACUUUAUCUCUUUUUAUAUGUGGGAUUUGGGGUUUAAUAACUGUAUCUAAUACUAACUAACCAUCAUCCAUGCUAUAUGAAUCUUGUUUUGGUUUCUUUCUUAUAAUUUUUCUAGACAAAAUAUAGUUAAUAUAUAUAUAUAUAUAUAUAUAUAUAUAUAUAUAUAUAUAUAUAUGUAUGUAUAUAAUUCAAAUUUUUAUAUUAAAUUGAAAUUGCUAUAAAAAAAUAUAUUUAAAAUAUACAAUUUUGAAAUCCAACAAAAAUUCAAACAUUAUGUGUUUACAAAAACUGAAAGAUCAGAGAUAGAUGAACAAUAAAAAAAACAACGAUAAGUUGUAAUAAAGAGAGGAAUCAAUAGAGUGGUUAAAAAAGCGUAAGAACCAUAUCAUACCGUCAUAUUAACGUUGAUAAUGAACCAAUUCAAUUCGUAAAUAUAAUUUGAGACUUACCUCAACAACUAAUUUGUUGAACUUGUGAACAAAUAAAC